UCUUUAUUAUUUUAUUUAUGUAAAACACUUAUAAAUAUAGAUAAAAUAAUUUUAUUGGGGUGAUAAAAAAAUUUGAUAAACUUUUUAUUAGUAAACACUAAUGUGUGAAUAAAUGAACUUAAACUUUAGGUUAAAAGAAAAGU
rnacentral:rRNA from 1 species